AAAAAAAAAAAAAGGCUGUGGCACUACUACUUGUUAUGCACAAGUUGUUUAUGCAAAGAUUGAAGUAAUUUUGGAAGUAGUCUUUGUGAUUUGAAAAUAGAGCAUGACUAACUUAUUGUCAUUCGCCAUCAAGCUAUAAGCUUGGUUAGACACAAUACAAUUUGAAGUGGCAAAAAGGAGAGACUGGCAUUGCCGCCAAAACGAUCUUCCAACCAAUCAUGGAUACUUAUUAACAACGCAAUUGCAAGGCACAUACCUGAGAGAGGUGAGGUGCACAAUUGAUAAAAUAAGACAACUAUUCAAAUUAAUAACAUAAAAUAUUUAGAAUUUUAGCACCAUUUUUUGGAAGUCCAUAUAAAAAUAAAACUGAAGAUUCAUCAAAUUCAGAUUCAUGACUUCCAACUUCCAAGGUUAUCUUCUUCUUCUUCCUCUUCAAAAUUGAUCUCUUCCUUAUUUUUCCCAUCUCUUAAAUAUUGGAGGAGUAAUGGGUAACAGAUUCUUCUAUAAAAAUUAAGCAAAUAAUUAACAAAAACAUUUUAAAAAAGAGAGCUUCCAAUCCAGAAAAGAGAAAAGAAAG
rnacentral:misc_RNA from 1 species